rnacentral:rRNA from 1 species
UACGUAGGGUGCGAGCGUUAAUCGGAAUUACUGGGCGUAAAGCGUGCGCAGGUGGUUUUGUAAGUCAGAUGUGAAAUCCCCGGGCUCAACCUGGGAACUGCGUUUGAAACUACAAGACUAGAGUGUGGCAGAGGGGGGUGGAAUUCCGCGUGUAGCAGUGAAAUGCGUAGAGAUGUGGAGGAACACCGAUGGCGAAGGCAGCCCCCUGGGUCAACACUGACGCUCAGGCACGAAAGCAUGGGGAGCAAACAGGAUUAGAUACCCCCGUA